CCUACGGGUGGCAGCAGUCGAGAAUCAUUCACAAUGGGGGAAACCCUGAUGGUGCGACGCCGCGUGGGGGAAUGAAGGUCUUCGGAUUGUAAACCCCUGUCAUGUGGGAGCAAAUUAAAAAGAUAGUACCACAAGAGGAAGAGACGGCUAACUCUGUGCCAGCAGCCGCGGUAAUACAGAGGUCUCAAGCGUUGUUCGGAAUCACUGGGCGUAAAGCGUGCGUAGGCUGUUUCGUAAGUCGUGUGUGAAAGGCGCGGGCUCAACCCCCGGACGGCACAUGAUACUGGGAGACUAGAGUAAGGGAGGGGGAACCGGAAUUCUCGGUGUAGCAGUGAAAUGCGUAGAUAGCGAGAGGAACACUCGUGGCGAAGGCGGGUUCCUGGACAUUAACUGACGCUGAGGCACGAAGGCCAGGGGAGCGAAAGGGAUUAGAUACCCUGGUAGUC
rnacentral:rRNA from 1 species